GAUGAACGCUGGCGGCGUGCUUAACACAUGCAAGUCGAACGAGAAGUGAAGACGGAAACCUUCGGGCGGAAGGCUUUAUUUCGAGUGGCGGACGGGUGAGUAACGCGUGGGUAACCUGCCUCAUACAGGGGGAUAACAGUUGGAAACGACUGUUAAUACCUCAUAAGACCACAGCACCGCAUGGUGCGGGGGUAAAAACUCCGGUGGUAUGAGAUGGACCCGCGUUCGAUUAGCCAGUUGGCGGGGUAACGGCCCACCAAAGCGACGAUCGAUAGCCGAUCUGAGAGGAUGACCGGCCACAUUGGGACUGAGACACGGCCCAAACUCCUACGGGAGGCAGCAGUGGGGAAUAUUGCACAAUGGGGGAAACCCUGAUGCAGCGACGCCGCGUGAGUGAAGAAGUAUUUCGGUAUGUAAAGCUCUAUCAGCAGGGAAGAAAAUGACGGUACCUGAGUAAGAAGCCCCGGCUAACUACGUG
rnacentral:rRNA from 1 species